rnacentral:rRNA from 1 species
UACGGAGGGUGCGAGCGUUGUCCGGAAUCACUGGGCGUAAAGGGCUCGUAGGCGGCCAACUAAGUCGGAUGUGAAAUCCCCAAGCUUAACUUGGGAACUGCAUCCGAUACUGGAUGGCUUGAAUCCGGGAGAGGGAUGCAGAAUUCCAGGUGUAGCGGUGAAAUGCGUAGAUAUCUGGAGGAAUACCAGCGGCGAAGGCGGCAAACUGGAUAGGAACUGACACUCAACAACGAAAGCGUGGGGAGCAAACAGGG